UUUGAACGCUGGCGGCAUGCCUUACACAUUCAAGCCGAACGGUAACAGGUCUUCGGAUGCUGACGAGUGGCGAACGGGUGAGUAAUACAUCGGAACGUGCCCGAUCGUGGGGGAUAACGCAGCGAAAGCUGUGCUAAUACCGCAUACGAUCUACGGAUGAAAGCGGGGGAUCGCAAGACCUCGCGCGGACGGAGCGGCCGAUGGCAGAUUAGGUAGUUGGUGGGAUAAAAGCUUACCAAGCCGACGAUCUGUAGCUGGUCUGAGAGGACGACCAGCCACACUGGGACUGAGACACGGCCCAGACUCCUACGGGAGGCAGCAGUGGGGAAUUUUGGACAAUGGGCGCAAGCCUGAUCCAGCCAUGCCGCGUGCAGGAUGAAGGCCUUCGGGUUGUAAACUGCUUUUGUACGGAACGAAAAAGUUCUCUCUAAUACAGGGGGCGAAUGACGGUACCGUAAGAAUAAGCACCGGCUAACUACGUGCCAGCAGCCGCCGUAACAC
rnacentral:rRNA from 1 species